rnacentral:miRNA from 1 species
UCUGUGGGAGAGUUGGAGAUCAGAAACACAUCAUCCUCUCCCUCAAAAGCUUACAAAUGAAUCAAGAGGUGAAGGUAAACACAAUUGACUUAUUUAAAGGUGGACUUUGAUAAGACCCAUAAGA